GAAAGAAAGAAAGAUGGGCAACAGUUGCAGAACCUAACCCACAGAUAGGUUUUGUUUGACCAGCUCUGUACAUUUUUAGUUUAUUUUUUAUCUUUUUGAGACAGGGUCUUGCCCUGUCGCCCAGGCUGGAGUGCAGUUGCAUGAUCUCGGCUCAUUCCAACUUCUACUUCCCGGGUUCAAGCAAUUCUCCUGCCUCAGCCUCAUGAGUAUCUGGGAUUACAGGCGUGGUGGCACCUGCCUUUACCCAGCUACUUGGGGGGCUGAGGCCAGAGAAACGCUUGAGCCUGGGAAGCAGAGGUUGCAGUGAGCGGAGAUCACACCACUGCACUCUAGCCUGGGAGACAGAGCAAGACUCUGUCUCAAAAAAAAAGAAAGAACUCCGUGAGCAUCCCAAAUGCCACAUCCCCAUAAUGCAACCAGACCCGGUCCUCCCGG
rnacentral:lncRNA from 10 species